AAAUUACUGGCGGCUGCUUUACCAUGCAAGUCGACCGGCAGCGCGGGCUUCGGCCUGGCGGCGAGUGGCGAACGGGUGAGUAAUACAUCGGAACGUGCCCAGUAGUGGGGGAUAGCUCGGUGAAAGCCGGAUUAAUACCGCAUACGACCUGAGGGUGAAAGCGGGGGACUUUAGGGCCUCGCGCUAUUGGAGCGGCCGAUGGCAGAUUAGCUGGUUGGUGGGGUAAAGGCCUACCAAGGCGACGAUCUGUAGCUGGUCUGAGAGGACGACCAGCCACACUGGGACUGAGACACGGCCCAGACUCCUACGGGAGGCAGCAGUGGGGAAUUCUGGACAAUGGGCGAAAGCCUGAUCCAGCAAUGCCGCGUGUGUGAUGAAGGCCUUCGGGUUGUAAAGCACUUUUGUCAGGAACGAAAAGGGCUGUGCUAAUACCACGGUCUGAUGACGGUACCUGAAGAAUAAGCACCGGCUAACUACGUGCCAGCAGCCGCGGUAAU
rnacentral:rRNA from 1 species